ensembl:lncRNA novel transcript
CCGCUGGUGCGUGUCGGGGAUGCGGCCGCGCAGGCGCUCGCUCCCUGGCUUCCUGGCCGGGUAGCGGGCGUUCGGCUACCGGAGUCCAGCCUAAGGGCCCAGCCGAGGUCUCCCCGCGCGAGGCGGUUGCGCUAGGUGAGCGGGUACCGCGGCCGCGCCUCCCUUGUCAUUUACUCAGCGGUCAGAGGCAUCCUGCGUCUGGGAGUCCCAAGUGCCUUCGGCUGGGUGCCCCUGUCCGAUCCUCAAAAGGAAAGCACAAAUCCCGGGUGCGAGUCUAACCCAGGACCGAACUUUCCCGCGAACCUGAAGUUACCAUGGGGCGGGAGCCACCUUAGCGCCGCGUCCGCCCGCCCCUCGCACCGGCUAGGAUGCUGCGGAAGGCAGGGGCGCCGAGAGGCAAGGGUGAAAGACGCCGUCCAUACCCCCAAAGCCCGAACCUGCAUCUCCUCUGCGAGGCGCAGGGCGGGAGGACCGCUGCAGUUGGGAGCCGGCUCCGGACAGGCAAAGCGACCCGACAGGUAACCUUCCACAGGCCCACACAUGUGUUAUCAGCCAUACCUUAGGACAGAAGGAAUGAGUUUGCAGAAAGGAUGCUCUUCAGAACUCAUGAAGACAUAAGGUGCUUCAAAAGAGGAGACUUUCGGAACAUGAGCAGGGAAAUUGUCACUUGAUAGAUGACAAGCAUUGUGAGAAACAACAGUUUGCCUUUCUUCAUUCCCUUCCUGGUUAUCUUUCCUGUCACAUGAAGAAGAAAUGAAACACCAGAGAGAAUCAGGUUAUCAUCAUCUACACCAGCCACUGUCACUGGUUAAGUAUUAGUUUAAUAUUCCAUUCUUCAUAUAAGAUGGUACCUGACCCACCAUUCCCUGUACAUGCAUUUUGAAUUGUUUCCCACACAUGGCAUUGCAGGAGAAGUUUCUUGGUCACUGUGGGGGCUGCUACUCUAAAGCAGGAGUUUUCAAUCUUCAUUGUCCUUGUUGCAGAACCCUUUGUUUAAAAGCCCAAGAUGUAAAACAGAUGAAAACAGAGCUGCUUUGUUAGAAACCAGGCACAUGAGAGGGAUCACAGUGUUUCUCUUUAGCUCCUUUGAGGACUUUGAAGACCCCUGCUCUAAUGCAAUUCUAACUUCUUGAUUGUAACAAAAUUUAGGAACACUAUGAGUUUGCCCUGAAAGGAGACUCUCCAAGUGGGGAGGCACAGAUGAUCAAGGGGCUCUGUCUGCAUCCUUUAGCUUCAUAUUCAUCUUAGUUCUUGCACAUGUUAGAUCCACUCUCAUCCUCAUGACAUACUCCUGGUAAAUCAUAGGCCCUGAAUUUCUCAUUACAGAGCUGAUCGGUUGUAAUUUCCUGCUACUAAAAGCCAAGUAAUUACACCCCAAACUUUAAGUUCAAGGAAGGAUGGAGAUUAGGCUUGUUUUGUUCAGGAUGUCAUCCCAUUGCAUAAUGUGCCUGGCAUACACUGGGAAUUCAAUAAAUAUAUGUGGACAGAAUUGAAUGAAGGCUCACAAAUGGACAACCAAUGGGGAAAAGCACAGAGACCUCAAAAAAUAUAAAAAGAGUGCAAAAGUUAAAUGCAUAGCUUUCUAGAGCAGCGAUGGCACUCUUGUCACUAAGCUUAUGAACUUGUUUCAUCUCAUUAUUCGUUUUGAGUCAGAUGCCCCCCAGAGGUUCUACUAGCUUUCCCUGGACUCUUAUGACUUACCUCCUGGCCUGCUUUUUCUUAGUACCGUCUUAAAAUUACCUUCCUGGGUAUAUUUUAUAUGCCCUUCUCUAUAAUGCACCUUGGCAUGCCCAUGAUUAAGACAAAGAGAGCAUGAUACUUUCCCGCAGCUAAUGGAGUGCUGGCCUUUGGUUUCUGGGAAUUUUUGUGUGAUUAUUUCUUUAUUCUGUCUAAGAAUUAUCAGAAAUAGGCCAGGCGUGGUGACUUAUGCCUGUAAUCCCAGCACUUUGGGUGGCUGAGGUGGGCAGACCACCUGAGGUCAGGUGUUCGAGACCAGCCUGGCCAACGUGGUGAAACUUCAUUUCUACUAAAAAUACAAAAAUUAGCUGGGUGUGGUGGUGCUACUUGGGAGGCUGAGGCAGGAGAAUCGCUUGAACCUGGGAGGCAGAAGCUGCAGUGAGCCAAGACUGGGCCACUGCACUCCAGCCUGGGUGACAG